rnacentral:rRNA from 1 species
AUUGAACGCUGGCGGCAUGCCUUACACAUGCAAGUCGAACGGCAGCAUGUUGUGUAGCAAUACACAAUGAUGGCGAGUGGCGAACGGGUGAGUAAUACAUCGGAACGUGCCCUUUAGUGGGGGAUAAUCCAGGGAAACUUGGACUAAUACCGCAUACGAUCUACGGAUGAAAGUUGGGGAUUCGCAAGAACCUGACGCUAUUGGAUCGGCCGAUGUCAGAUUAUGGUAGUUGGUGGGGUAAAAGCCUACCAAGCCUACGAUCUGUGGCUGGUCUGAGAGGACGAUCAGCCACACUGGGACUGAGACACGGCCCAGACUCCUACGGGAGGCAGCAGUGGGGAAUUUUGGACAAUGGGGGAAACCCUGAUCCAGCGAUGCCGCGUGAGUGAUGAAGGCCUUCGGGUUGUAAAACUCUUUCGGACGGGAAGAAAUCUUUGCGGUGAAUAGCCGUAGAGGAUGACGGUACCGUAAGAAGAAGCACCGGCUAACUACGUGCCAGCAGCCGCCGUAA